AAACUACACUGGCCACUGGCUGCUUCCUGAAAAUCAACCAUAGAGAAACUAUAGGAACUGGAGGGAAACUUGGAUUUGAGGAACGAACGACUAAAAAUAAAUAAAACACUAUGAGAAGUCCCUGGGGAGUCUGAAGACUCAGAAAGUACAUCAAGUAAAGGCUGAGCUACAGACAUUUCCCAGCACAGAGCCAUGUGUAGUAACCAAUACUCUCAGGGGAAGAGGAAUUCUUCAGAAGAAAUAGCCUCUGUUCCCAGGUUCCAGUGUGUGCUUGUACAAAAGUUCCAAGUUGUCCUGCUCACCUGCACCUGUCUUUCAUCUUCCCUUCCCACUUGUCUGUUCUGUAGUUUUAAACUUUAGGCACUGGAAGUGAAAUGAACAUAUAUGUACAUACA
ensembl:lncRNA